rnacentral:rRNA from 1 species
CAGCAGCCGCGGGAAUACGGAGGAUCCAAGCGUUAUCCGGAAUCAUUGGGUUUAAAGGGUCCGUAGGCGGUCUUGUAAGUCAGUGGUGAAAGCCCAUCGCUCAACGGUGGAACGGCCAUUGAUACUGCAGGACUUGAAUUAUUGGGAAGUAACUAGAAUAUGUAGUGUAGCGGUGAAAUGCUUAGAGAUUACAUGGAAUACCAAUUGCGAAGGCAGGUUACUACCAAUUGAUUGACGCUGAUGGACGAAAGCGUGGGUAGCGAACAGGAUUAGAUACCCCAGUAGUCCCUGUCUCUUAUAC